GUUGCCGUGGCCGAGCGGUUAAGGCGUUGGACUCGAAAUCCAAUGGGAUCUUCCCGCGCAGGUUCGAAUCCUUCCGGCAACG
rnacentral:tRNA from 2 species